rnacentral:rRNA from 1 species
CCUACGGGGGGCUGCAGUGGGGAAUAUUGGACAAUGGGGGCAACCCUGAUCCAGCCAUGCCGCGUGUGUGAAGAAGGCCCUCGGGUUGUAAAGCACUUUCAGUGAGGAAGAACGCCUGGUGGUUAAUACCCAUCAGGAAAGACAUCACUCACAGAAGAAGCACCGGCUAACUCCGUGCCAGCAGCCGCGGUAAUACGGAGGGUGCGAGCGUUAAUCGGAAUUACUGGGCGUAAAGCGCGCGUAGGUGGCUUGAUAAGCCGGUUGUGAAAGCCCGGGGCUCAACCUGGGAACGGCAUCCGGAACUGUCAAGCUAGAGUGCAGGAGAGGAAGGUAGAAUUCCCGGUGUAGCGGUGAAAUGCGUAGAGAUCGGGAGGAAUACCAGUGGCGAAGGCGGCCUUCUGGACUGACACUGACACUGAGGUGCGAAAGCGUGGGUAGCAAACAGGAUUAGAUACCCCGGUAGUC